GUCAACGUCCAUACCAUGUUGAAUACACCGGUUCUCGUCCGAUCACCGAAGUUAAGCAACAUCGGGCGCGGUCAGUACUUGGAUGGGUGACCGCCUGGGAACACCGCGUGAUGUUGGCU
rnacentral:rRNA from 1 species